UUUGAAUUUUUGUUUUUAACGGACAUAAUGUUCAGAUUAGGGGGGAAAAAUCUAAUUUCAAUUCAAAUCCAAAUGGUCUAACGGAAUAAGCCAGGGUAUUUUCGUAACUUCGUAUUAAGUGGCCUAACCACUACAAAUAGAAAUUUUGUUCCUCUCUUUCAUUUCAUCACCGACUCGAAAAAAGCUUCGUCUCCACGAUUUCAAAUUACUUUCGCGAUCAAAUUUAUUCUGAUCAGGAAUCAAUCUGUUUCGGAUCCAGCCGGUGAUGAAUCCGAUGGAUGCGAUCGCAUUUUGGGAGAAAAUCCUUCUCGCCGCCGUCAAGAGAAGCGUGUGAUUGAAUCAGAAAACCCUCCGAUUACGCAAAAAGAAUCAGAGAACAAAAGGGAGACUAUUUGCUAGCCAACACGUUUACUUCUAACAAUGUAUAUUACCUGUUUAGAAAAUCCGAGCAGAGCAGAGCAACCAAACAUGGAGGAUUCUGAGCUUUCUUCAGUUGAAAUGUAACUUUUGACAAAGGGUUUCAAGAUGAAGGAUUGUUUAGCUGCAAAGAAGAUCAUUCAGUUGCCAACAAAGGUACGUGUGGUUAAGUAGCUCUCUCUCUCCCACUUAUCAUGUCUCUUGCACUGUCUCAAAAACAGAGCAUGAAUCCACGAAAAUCCACACUCAAACGAACAAAAAGAAAAUCAAACACACAAAACUAAUUUAAAGUCACAAAAUCACAACACGAAAUUCAAACACACAAUCAAAAAACAUAGCACACAACGUUCAAACGCAUCAAGAAAUAGAAAACAGAACAUAAAUCCACGAAAACCCACACG